AUGCAGGAGGAUGAUGUGUACGAAGAGCAUGUGAAGUCGCUAAGACUUACAGAUGAUGCAGCGAAUGAAGAUGUGGAAGAAAGCAGAGGAAAAGCUGUAGCCGAGGAGGAGAGAGCAAUGACACUGGAUGAUCAUCAAAAAAUGGAUGAAACCUUGAUAAAGGUCCAGGUAAAGGAUGAAGAAGAUGAUAAAAUACACCAUGAAGAUGAGCGAGAUAUGAAGGCAGAAGACUCUGAGGUAAAUUUGUCUAUGAUCGCAGCUUUGAGUCUAGAAGAGGAGGACAACACGCACAUAGUAGAGGCGAGGGUGCUGAGAGACCAGGCACGCAUAGCGAUGACGCGUGAGGAAGUAGAGGACGGUGAUGGUGUGUUGCCGCUGGCUUCUGAAAAUGAAGACAAAUCCGAUCAAGGAGCAGAAGAAGCUGGAGACCUUUCAGACGACGAAGGAGAUCUGGAGGGAGACCCAAGAUUUACUUCAGUGCAUGUCGCGUCACAACUGGCCGACAACAACAGAGGCAUUGUUUCCGAGGAUGAGCUAAUUCUUGUUGGACAACAGCAUGUGAGCACGCAUAGCAGUGAAAGUGAGGACGCAAAAGAGAAAGAGGACGAGAGAACACUGGAUGAGACGGAGCAGGAUGCUGUAAUUGAGGAAGAAGAUGUGAGCGAGGUUGCAAGCGACCAGGCAAAAGAUGACUUCAGCUUGAAAACAGUUUCAGAAGAUGGUCAAGAAGAAGAUAUUUCAACCGGACAUGUUACAUGCACGGAAGAAUUCGCGCAGAAUGCUGAAACGGAGCCGAUCACGGCUGAAGUCACAGAUGGAGAGCAAGAGGACAUGGCCACAGACACAGAAGUGCAAACCAAAACGAGAGAGACACAUGCUGUUGAACUAGAAAGCCAAGGCGAGGUGAGCAAUGGAAAUACUGAUACAGACAUUCCCGUAGGUGAGACAUUUUUUGAUAAAGAUCAAGCAGAGGAGGAGAGGCACUCCAGUGAGGGCGUCAACAAAGAUGGUUGCCUAGAAGUAGUGUGCACAACCACCUUGGUUACAGUAAACCCCGAAGGCGAGACUGGACAGGAAAUUAGUGGAGAGUUUAAAAAUAUUCCUCCGGGGACAUGUGAAGGCCGGCUUGUUGUGUCGCAGGAGCUGAAUUCUCCCACAUGUGAGGAAGCACGAGAGGGAGUUCCUGAACACAACAAUGAGCCAGGGCCAGAUGAAAAUGCAACACAAUGGUUCCUGGAAGCAGGAGAUUGCGAGGAAAUCCAGACCUUGCAAUUACCAGAAGAGGUGGAGGGCAAAGAGCCGGAGAGCCUUGAAAACAGUGGCUGGAGCACCGGAGCUGACCAUUCACUGGCGAGGGAGCGUAUGGAAGAGGAACAAGAAAGCCCAGAAGAGAUAAGAAACAGCUUUGAUUCGGUUGUAGAGGAGCAUGCUGACGCUGGAUUGCAUCAAGAGGCAGAAACCGUACUUAUUGAACCAGUAAUUCAAGAUUCGGGGGUUUUAUUUGACGAAGAGCAAGAAACAUUAUCGGCUGACUCAAUGAAGACAGGGAUCGAACAAUCGGAGAAGGAAUUCGAGUCAGACGUCGGCUCAACAGAUGAGAUUGAUAAGACGGUAAAAGAGCCGCAGGAUGGGACUGAAGAGCUUCUGGUUGAUCUUGAGAUGGAUGAGGGAUUAUGUGAUGUCAGAGAAACUGAUGCUGUAGUGCAGAAAAUGGCAGAGAUUAGCUUCUUUCAGGAGUCGGUAGAAGCAGUAAACUCGGAGCAAAACAGCUACAGGACACAGAGUUUCCUAGAAGACUUCACAGAAUCUGGAUUCCUGAAACAGUCGAUUGAGACUGAACCUCGAGCAGACUUACUUGAGCAGAGUGCUGUACAAAUGCAAUAUGCAGGGAGAGAUUUGGAGGAAACGUAUUUUGGGGUUAAAGAGGAGGUUGCACAAGAUGAAGUGCACAACGAGAAUGAGAUGGAAACUGGAGAGACUUUGAUCGCAGAAUCUGAGUCAUUGGAGACGCAAAAUCAGCUAUCAGACGCAGCACUUGAGAUAAGCAACGAGAAGACUGAAGCAGCGGGAGAAUCACUGACAAGUGAGUCCAAACCAGAAGAUUCAACUGUGAUAUCAGCAGAAGAAGUGUCAAGGCGUGUGACAGAAUCAGAAGGGAGUUACGCUGAAGACAGCCCAAUCAGCAGAGGUCAAGAUGUGAUUGAUGAAGAAGUCCUUGACUUAUGGAUACAGACGGCGCUGUCAGAGGACACUGAUGGCAUCAAACAAGAAGAAGGGCCUGAACCUGGACAACAAAUUGACUCGGAUACGGAGCAAUCAAAUGAGGAGCAACAUGAAGUCUUAUCAGUACAGAGAGAUAAGGUUAAAGAGCAGCUUGUGGAGCUGAAUUCAGAGGAAUCUGAGCUGAUGAGUGACACAGAAAUGUCUUCAUCGACAGCAGAGUCCGGAUUUUCAGAUCAGUCUCUCUGUGAAUCAGGCACACAGGGCAGUGAAACUCAGUUACAGGAUUCAACCAGCAGUGGAUCGUGUCAAGGCAUUGAUGACACGUUGGCUAACAUGUCAGAAUCGGCAGACAUCUCUGAACUGUCAACACAACAACCAGAGUCGGGGUUAGGUCAGGAAACGGCUGAAAAAGGGGAAUCGUUUCUGAAACGGGAGGAAUCUUCCGCUGAGAGGCAAACAGAGGCCGGACAUCUGAAUCAGGGAUCAGAUGAAUCACAAGGAAAAGCGGACGAAGAGAAUGGAUCACAGAAAGAUAGUGAUGCUGACAUAACAGACCCAGCAAGGACAACUGACCGGAAAGACACAGAAGAAGUUGAGUCACUAACAGAAAUGAGCGCUCAUGUCCAAGUCGAGGAAACAAAAGUCAAAGUUGAGCCUCUCGAGAUUUCUGGCUCUGCAGAUGAAGUCGAACACACUGACUCGGGACGAUCUAGAAGUGGCUCAGAGGGAAGCGUGUCAUCAGAAUCACAAAACGACACCAGCAUUGAAUCCGAGAAGACGUUAUUGAUGUUGCCCUCAGUGGACAAACUGCCCAGAUUUUCAGAAGAUGAUUCUUUACAUGAGCUAAACAGGGCUGAGAUGGCACCGCAGCCGACAUCAGAAGAUCAGAUGGAGGUGGACGCCUAUGUGUUGGACUUUGCUGCACAAAGGUCAAGAAUUGCUGUUAAAAACCCUCGUGUGAGGCCACCCAAAGACCCCCGCUCCCUGCUACACAUGCCCUCAGUGGAUCCCACACCUUCCUCUCGUCUGCCUGUCAAAGUACCUGCAGGUGUGCCUUUCGGAGGAUUGGGCAUUGGCGUGAAACUUCCUGGUAGGUCACUUGCAACACAUGGAAUGCAACUACCUUGAGUCUAUAAGUCAUGUUCUUUUUCAAAAUAUGUAAAUAACUCUCAUGCACAUGUUUUGUUUUGUAGGGCUUGGUGCAGGUUUUCCCGUUUUAAAAAAGACUCCAAGGGUGGUGAGAGAUGAAAAUAGCCAGGAGCCACUCUCACAGGUAUUAAUAACAAACUUUGAAUGUCACUUUUAUCUUAUAUUGAGGUUGGUACUUUAUUGAAAUGUCAUAACAUCAACAGGGACCCGAGACAAAGCCAGAGGAGAAGAGUGACUCUCCCAAACAAGACGAGGCGCCACACAAACCAAAAUGGAUGCCACCAAGACACCCAGGGUAAAGUCUUUUAGUAUUGGCAUUAAAGGAGACAUGUUAUGCUCUUUUUCAGGUUCAUGAUUUUAUUUUGGUUUUACUACAAGAAUAGGUUUACUGAAUUGGCCAAAAAAAUUUAGUUUUGUCUUACUGUCAAGUGGUGCAACACUGUAUUCCCCCUCUGUCUGAAACACUCUGUUUUAGCUCCUGUCUCACCCAGUCCGCUCUGAUUGGUCACCUCACACAUGCCUGACCCAGCACCGCUAGCAACAACAGAGCAGCUUUGCUAAAUCAAUUCUUACAUGCCAAACUACCCGCAAGGCAGUAAUUAUGCAAAUGUGUGACAUGGUGAGGUCAUGGAUUUAAAGGCAGGACUACUGACGAGGCGUUUCUGGAGCAGUGUUUUCUGUGGGAGAUAAGAACUCCUGUUGGUGCGGAGUUUGACCUUUUAAAUUUUUAGAUACUAUAUAUAAAACACUCAAGGGGAGGAACAAACAAAGGGUUGUAGGUCUCUUUUUAAAAUAAGAGGCGUCUUGUGAACAAACGUUUUGUAAUUCUUGGUAUUGUCAUGUCUCUCCCCAGAUUUGGAAAUCCGCUCAUGUCUGAGCUGAAGACGAAACUGAAGAAAACCACAAAAGAUUGAGAGGAAGAUAAAAUGUACCGCUUUAUGUGAAUAUCUGAAUGUAAUAUACUGAUGGCUGUAUUUUUUUGUGUGUGUAUAUAAGAAACUGAAUACAGUGAUGACAUGUUCUUCCUGCAGUUACUAUCCUGAUGUUUUGUAACUUUUGUAAUAAAGCUCAUCUGUAAGAGGAAUCAUAGUUUCUUGCACAAAAAUUGAAAAAAUUGUGAAGAAAUAUGCUGACAGAAGCAAGUUGUGGGGCCACAUGAUAAUGGUUCAGGUUGCAUGGAAAUGUAGUGAGUUACUGAAUACUAAUUAUAUGUCAGUUUUUGUUAUUGGUAAUGUAAUCCAUUUGAUAGCAAAUUAUGUAAUCACAAUUAAUUUAACUCCUUUUUCAAGCGAUGGAAGACAAAAUUCAUACAAGUUUGUAAUCUGGACAAAUAGAUCGACUUGAACCUUGAAUAUUAGUAUUAGUGUGACUUCACUGAUCAAAAG
rnacentral:lncRNA from 1 species